rnacentral:rRNA from 1 species
AACGAACGCUGGCGGCAGGCUUAAUACAUGCAAGUCGAACGAGAUCUUCGGGUCUAGUGGCGCACGGGUGCGUAACGCGUGGGAAUCUGCCCUUUGGUUCGGAAUAACAGUUGGAAACGACUGCUAAUACCGGAUGAUGACGAAAGUCCAAAGAUUUAUCGCCAGAGGAUGAGCCCGCGUAGGAUUAGCUAGUUGGUGUGGUAAAGGCGCACCAAGGCGACGAUCCUUAGCUGGUCUGAGAGGAUGAUCAGCCACACUGGGACUGAGACACGGCCCAGACUCCUACGGGAGGCAGCAGUGGGGAAUAUUGGACAAUGGGCGAAAGCCUGAUCCAGCAAUGCCGCGUGAGUGAUGAAGGCCUUAGGGUUGUAAAGCUCUUUUACCCGGGAUGAUAAUGACAGUACCGGGAGAAUAAGCUCCGGCUAACUCCGUGCCAGCAGCCGCAGUAACAC